GUGCCCGCUUCAGCAGCACAUAGACUAAAAUUGGAACGAUACAGAGAAUAUCAGCAUGGCCCCCACACAAGGAUGACAUGCAAACUCAUGAAGCGUUCCGUAUUUUG
ensembl:snRNA U6 U6 spliceosomal RNA